rnacentral:rRNA from 1 species
GCCUACGGGAGGCAGCAGUAAGGAAUAUUGCUCAAUGGGAGAAAUCCUGAAGCAGCAACGCCGCGUGGAGGAUGAAGGGUCUAUGACUUGUAAACUCCUGUAAAGAAGGAAAAAAUUCCCAUUAGAUGGGAGAUGAUGGUACUUCUGGAGUAAGCCCCGGCUAACUACGUGCCAGCAGCCGCGGUAAUACGUAGGGGGCAAGCGUUGUCCGGAUUUACUGGGUGUAAAGGGUGCUCAGGCGGAUUUGUAAGUCAGAGGUGAAAUCUUACAGCUUAACUGUGAAACUGCCUUUGAUACUGCAAGCCUAGAGUAUGGAAGAGAGUGAUGGAAUAUCUGGUGUAGCAGUGAAAUGCGGAGAUAUCAGAUAGAACACCAAUGGCGAAGGCAGUCACUUGGUCCAUUACUGACGCUAAAGCACGAAAGCGUGGGUAGCAAACAGGAUUAGAUACCCCGGUAGUCGUG